AUAAGAAGAACGUUGAGCGGUUUAAACAUGCAGUCGAACGAACCUUCGGGUUAGUGGCGGACGGGUGAGUAACGCGUGAGAAUCUGCCCUCAGGAGGGGGAUAACGGUUGGAAACGACCGCUAAUACCCCAUAUGCCUACUGGUGAAAUGAAUUUCGCCUGAGGAUGAGCUCGCGUCUGAUUAGCUAGUUGGUGAGGUAAUGGCUCACCAAGGCUUCGAUCAGUAGCUGGUCUGAGAGGAUGAUCAGCCACACUGGGACUGAGACACGGCCCAGACUCCUACGGGAGGCAGCAGUGGGGAAUUUUCCGCAAUGGGCGAAAGCCUGACGGAGCAACGCCGCGUGAGGGACGAAGGCCUCUGGGCUGUAAACCUCUUUUCUCAAGGAAGAAGAUAUGACGGUACUUGAGGAAUAAGCCACGGCUAAUUCCGUGCCAGCAGCCGCGGUAAUACGGGAGUGGCAAGCGUUAUCCGGAAUUAUUGGGCGUAAAGCGUCCGCAGGCGGCUUUUCAAGUCUGCUGUUAAAGCGUGGAGCUUAACUCCAUCAUGGCAGUGGAAACUGAAAGGCUUGAGUAUGGUAGGGGCAGAGGGAAUUCCCGGUGUAGCGGUGAAAUGCGUAGAUAUCGGGAAGAACACCAGUGGCGAAGGCGCUCUGCUGGGCCAUUACUGACGCUCAUGGACGAAAGCCAGGGGAGCGAAAGGGAUUAGAUACCCCUGUAGUCCUGGCCGUAAACGAUGAACACUAGGUGUCGGGGGAAUCGACCCCCUCGGUGUCGUAGCCAACGCGUUAAGUGUUCCGCCUGGGGAGUACGCACGCAAGUGUG
rnacentral:rRNA from 1 species